rnacentral:lncRNA from 1 species
CCAUGGAUUCCUUCAAGAUCUUCGCCCUCUUCCUCCUCAUCUCCACCCUCUCCAUUUCCUCCGCCGUCGUCCAGCCCGAUUGCGGCUCCUGCUCCCAACCCGCCCCCAAAAAGCCCAAACCCACCGUGCCCGUGCCACCUGUGACAGUACCGAAGCNGCCCGUGCCUCUGCCGCCUGUGACGGUGCCGAAGCUGCCCGUGCCCUUGCCGCCUGUGACGGUGCCGAAGCUGCCCGUGCCUCUGCCGCCUGUGACGGUGCCGAAGCUGCCCGUGCCCCUGCCGCCUGUGACGGUGCCGAAGCUGCCCGUGCCCCUGCCGCCAGUGGGGGGGACACCGAAGGGGAAAAGUGGAUGCCCGCCCCGCCGGCGAAAGGAGGUAAGGAGGAGACGUGCCCCAUCGACACACUGAAGCUAGGUGCAUGUGUGGAUCUUCUGGGUGGGUUGGUGCACGUGGUGGUGGGAGACCCCGCCGUGAACGAGUGCUGCCCCAUCAUCUCCGGCCUGGCCGGGGGGGAAGCCGCCGC